UCUCUCUUCUCUAUGCUCUACCUUCUCCUUCCCCAAAACCCAACACUGAAAAUCAAUCCUGCCAAGAAGCCAUCCCCACACUCUUAGGUCCAAGAUAGAAAGAAGGCAUCACCGAACAAACUACUAUCCCAACCGUGGCAGAGGGUAUAGCUCCUGUGGUUCUUAAUUUUGCAUCAUAAUUGCCUCAAACUCAGACCCUAUCCUCUCUCUCUAAUCUCAGCCAAAUCCAUCACCACUCUCAAUUUGCUUCUGUCGUUGAUGUUGCAUAAGGUGCUUAAUAGGAUUUUGUAGAAUUUUUGGUGUUUUGGCUGCUUUUAGUUCAAGUGAAUUCCAUGAGGUGAAUUUCAUGUAAGAUGUAAUUGAUAUUUUCAAUAGAAAUUGGAUGUGCAGUUGACCUCAAGCACUCGCAUAAGUUUUUCUUCUUUUUUUGUGAAAAUUCAUAGUUGCAAAUAUUUGAAUAAUAAAUGUUAUUAGCUUUGAUUUGCCUAGAAUCAAGAAGCAUGAAUAGGAUGGAAAUGCAAAGAAAUUUCCAUUACUUUAUCUUAUUUAUUUGGUGCUAAAUUAGAAUUUGCUUCAUGUUGGAAAAUUUACAACCUGAAGAAGUUUUUCAAUAUCUUAAUUGUACAAGAAAGGAUUUGACCUUUGAUCUGAUGGAGUUCAAGAAAGAUUGGAUUUGUUUCGAUACAACACUUGAGGAGGAAAAGGUUAGUAAAGCAAUGUUAAAAUUUUAUAUUCAUCCCUUCUUUUUAUUUUGCCAUUAUUGCUUGCUCAAUCUCCCUCAUUGAUUAGUUCUAAUAUUCCUUUAUCUUGCUCUAGGAAAAGAAAAUAGUAAAGCUUUUGGGUUUUAUGUGGAUUCCUUAAAAUUAUGACUCUAUGGCUUACUUUUUCUUGAUGACUUCGAUGUAACUAAUGUUGAAUAUUGUAGUCCUUAA